rnacentral:lncRNA from 12 species
AGUUAACAAAGAAAAUGAAAUGCAGACUGAAGAUGCUACAUACAUAUUGCAAGCCAAAAGAACUCAAUCUCCAACAGGUCUUUUGAAGAAAUAGAAGACAGAUCUCAAUGCUGAAGGUGCCAGUCUCUUCAGUUUUAUCUGGACCCAUCCAUCUACUUUAGGUUAAUAACAACACACAAGGAUCAGCAUGCUCCAAG